rnacentral:lncRNA from 1 species
UUUAAAGCCAAUCCAUUAUCCCCCAAUUUCAUAGAUAUACAUAAAUGACAUAAAUGCCUACAAAAGUUGCACCAAAGGGAUAAGACCUUUAGGGAAAGGGAAAUAACAUGAAAAAGAAUGAUGUCCCACACAGGGGAUAGAAAAUACUAAUUCCUGAAUGCUUCUUCUAUCGGCCUUCGCCCUUUUACCUUUGUCCACUUCUCGUUAUUGUCAACAUCCGUUAAUGAUCAAGCGAUUGUUGUAUAAUUGUACUAUAGAUGCCAUGCAACUGUCCAAAUCGAUCAAUUUCUUGCUUGUCUUGUUCAAUUCCUUCCUCAAUUGAUGUACGAUUGAGAAAUCCUUACACGAAAGUAAGUAAAGCAAGCCUUCUCCCGAUCCCACAAAUGAUAAUGGAUUGGAUUAAACAUACUGAUACGGGACAAACAAGGGAACACGAAAAUUAGUCCAAAAAGCAGUCCACAAAAUGGAAGAAAUCCGUGAACCCUUUUGGAGACCAAGUCUCGGCUUCCUAAGAACACAAUAACAAGAAGAUAACAAGGUGUUUAUUACACCAAAUCAGCGGACAACAAACUAUAUUAACAACAUAAGAUGAUGAACAAGAAGACACAAGAUUCAGAUUUAACAAUAACAACAAGAACACAAGAUUACAACACAAACACUAAACAAGAUUACAAGAAGGUAAAAUGAUAGAUAGAUAAACCACAUUAAGGUAUAAUCUUAAGAACCCAAGAAUGGACACUCUUGGACCCUUAAAACUACACACAACAAUAAACCUAUCUCUUACAUGACACAAGAUCGAAUUUCACCUCUCUAGCAUCAACGCUUCCAAGAAAGCAACAACAAAAGAGUAUCCUAGUUUCAGUGGUCACUCUUCUCACUAGAGAGAGAGCUUGUUACAAGUCUUCCAAAACUCCCAAAUAUCAUCCAAAAACUAAACUAAAAACCCUACAAUGUUCCUUUUAUAGCUAUAAAAAAUAUAAGUUAAAAUGACCAAAAGGCCCUUCAAAGAGUGGGCACCCAUCUAGUGUAAUUUAUGGGCUGAUUUGGGUGCAUUUUGGGCCUCUAUUACACUUCAAUUGCACAUGCCAAGGCUCAGGUCCAACACGCACUCUCCUAAGUCCAUAUCCGUGAUUAUUCCCGUAUCACAUACAUAUAUUUCUUCAACACAAAAAUAUGAUUCACCUGUAAUUGACUCGGGGUCAAUAGACGUAGGGCAAGUUUUCUAAUGGGCCCAAUCCCCCCCUUGGGUAUCGAGUCGUCCUAGGCUCAUGCCUAAAAUAGGAUUUUGGUUUUGCUCUAUCCUAGGUGUCUAGAGUAGGUUUGAACCAAGUUUCCAAGCGGGCGACUUGUGUUUGGAAAUAUGAUGACUCAUGUGCUAAUAAACGUUCGUAUUUCAACCACUUUAUUUGAAAUUGAACAACAGGGGCUGGGACAUCUACGAAAUCCCAAAAUAGUUUAUAAAUAGAUGCAGGAAUAUGUUAUAAGAUGCAAUAAUUAAUUAUCGUAAAAUUGAAACAUAUAAACACGUAAACAGUUAAUCAAAAGACGAAAUCAAACAUUUGGUUAGAACCUAGUUAACUAGUCCCCAGCAGAGUCGUCAUUUUUGUUUUGCAAAAAUUUGACUUUCAAAGUCGCCACUUAAUUUAUUUGAAAAAGAAUUAAGAAAACCUUUGAAAGUUACCUAAAUGAACCAAAACAAAUAAUCAUUUACGUUAGAAGAUUCUGAGUAAGUGGCUCCUAUUAAUACUCUUGGAAGGUUGUUAAGGCACCAAGAGUAUCCGCUAACUGGCGGUUAUCCAAACUAUUUUAAAAACAUCUUUUGACUAACUUCAAAACGAUUGAUUUGUUGAAAAGUGAUUGAAUUUUUUGAAAUGGCUUGUAUAAAAUAGUUUUGGGUGACUUAGUUGGGAUUUUAACUAAAACUAAACAAAUUAAUAAGCAAGUAAACACAUAAAAGGAGAAAAGGAGGAGAAAGUGAAAGAUUUAGGCCAUUAUGCCCAAAUCAACGAGACAUGUCCUAGUCUAAUUGAGCUUUCGGCCUAUUUCACCUGUCCUAAUUUAAUUUUCGAGCCUUUAGCUCGAGUCUUGCUCCACCUUUAUUAAAUUUACAACUUUGUCUUCGAGACCCAAAAUGAAUAAAUAAUAAAAGAAAUAAAUAAAGACAAUAAUAAAUGACUAAAUAUAUAAACACAUAAACAAAUAAAUGAAAAACGGGACUUUCAAGUCGACUUUAACCCAUUCUUCUUCUUUCGACUCCUUGUAUUCAUUUGUCAUGCGAUCAAUGUUGGAUUGAGUUUUGAGGAUAUAGGCUCCAUUGGCCCCUUCAAAACAUGUGCAACAGGAGGGAGUCCCUUGUGGACUCCGAAUGGAUGACAUACAAACGAAAAAGAGAAGGAAGGAUUAGAGUCUAUUCUAUAUCCAAAUCACUGAUUUAGUACCAAAUAGAAUAAGACAAAUUUAUAUAUAUAUAUAUAUAUUCAAAGAAUAAUUUCAAGAAAACUAAAUUAGAUCUUUAUUCGAGCAGGGCCGACUAAAAGUAGAACAACACAAUAUCAAGUUAUCUUAAAGUAGAACAACACAAUAUCAAAUUAUCUUUGGGGAAACUUUAAUUCGUGAGGCUAAUAAGGGUACAGUCAAUUACAAGUCUUGAACCUCUUGAGAAAAUAAUUAGAAUCAAGCAUCUUUAGAUACAAAAAAGAGCAAUUUUAUGGACCGAGUUCUAUCACAACAAACCCAGCUAGUAGGUACAGACAAUAUUCCCACACAUAGGGGUGUACAUAGGUCGGGUUGGUUUGAUUUUCUAUUGAAAAAAAAUAACUAAUUAUGUCGGUUUAUUAAAACUAUAAACCAAAUCAAACCAACAUAAAAUCGGUUUUUCCGGUUUAAGUUUUAGUCGGUUCUUUCAUUUUUUCUCGGUUUUUUCAAUUUUUUUCGAGUUUUUUUAUAAUCUUUAUUUUUUACAAUUAUAUUGUGACGAUUGAAGUUUAAAUCAAGUAUGUUUUCAUUCAUGUGCUAAUGAAAAACCACAAUUAUGAAAAAUUGAGGGCGGAAAACUCUCUUGACACUAAAAAAUAAGAUGAAGAGUGAAACGUUUAGGUUUUAAAUUUAUAUUGGAUUUUGGAUCAUUUUAUUAGCAAAAUGCAAAUAUAAACAUAUACACAUAUAUAUAUGUUUUACCACUACAAAUUUCAAGUGGUUGAUGAAUCAUUACUUUUGCGUUUGUCAUAUAAUACCUUUUUCCCUUGUUGCCACAUGCUAAGAGAAACGAAUCAAUUUGAACCAUAUUGGUGUUACGAUUAUUUUUCUCUUUUUUUUUAUAUUUAAAAUAUUUUCUUAUUUUUAAAGUCAAAUCUUUACAAAAUCAUUGUUACAUUCCUAUUACGUACUUAAAGCUUUUAAAAAUCUGGUACUUCUUAAUUUUUCUUAUUCUAAUAGUUUUAUAUUUAUCUCUAAUUUUUUAAAUCUUUUUAAAAUCAAAUUUAGUUGACUUAGAAUUCUUAAACUGGUGGAAAAAGUAUUAGUUGUCAUUAAUUUUGAUGACUUCUAAUAAAGAAAGAUUUUACCGUAAAUAUAUUUAAUUAAUUUUUAACUUUUAAAUUAGAAAAAAAAAAUUAAAAUUCCCAUGACUUCUAAUAAGGAAAGGUUUUACCAUAAAUAUAUUUAAUUAAUUUUUAACUCUUAAAUAUUAAAAAAAAUAGUCAAAAGACGAUUUUGUCUAAAACAAAGACUUUUAAUGAAGGGCAAAAAGUUCAAACAAUAUUUCUAAUGCCCUUCACACUUUUAAUAUAUUAUAGAUUACAGAUAUAUACAUCUACUUUUUAAAUAUUGAAAAUUAAUAAAACUAAUUGAAAAAUUAUUUAAAAAGUAGAUUAUAAUUAAUAUUUUAUGUAUUCGGUUUGACUUUUUUUUUGUUAACACUAAACCAAACCAAGAAUGGUCGUUUUUUUUCAAACGCCUAACCAACCAAACCAAACCAUAAGUCGGUUUUUUUUCUCGGUUUGAUUUGGUUCUUCGAUUUGGUUUGAUUUGACGGUUUGGUUUGUACACCCCUACCUACACAGAGACAACCCCAAAGGACAACAAACACUCUCAGGUAAUGUGAGAUGGAAUCUGGGAAUGUGAUUUUUGAACCAAUCAUGCAAAUAAACUAAAUUUCAAAAAUUAACAAGUAAUAAAUAUUCAAAUGAAAACUCUUUAGACCAACAUCUCCCUCUUCUUUGGCAAGUCACAAAGAAUCGUGAGUCCAGCGUUCACCGGGGAAUUUGGACAAUAGUUUACUCGAAGUAAAGACUAGAGAAGCCCCACAAAUUCUGAGUAAAAUAGGUGAACCAGGAAGAUUAACUAGAAAUCCAGUAAAGGUAACUUCUACCCAACAAAUUCAAUGAACGAAACCUUAACUAGGACAGUCAAAUAGAAGAGAUAGCGAUUAAGAGAGUUUUUAAUAAGACAAGGAGUUCAACAAUAAAGCUGGGAUUAACACAUAUUCAAUUGGUACGACGGACAGUAAAUCAGAUGGCAUUCAAGUUAAAGAAAACCCAAGGCAGCAUAAUGAGUUAACGUGGAAAAUCUUGAAACUAAAAGAAAUAAUAAUAAUACUAAGAUUAGCAUAACAAUUCUCUUGUAAGCAAAAUCAUAAUAAAGUCACGAACUUUUUGCGCAAACAGUCAAGACAGUGAAUUAAACAUGACCAGAAUACCCACACCACGUAAUAACGGAUACAAUCAUCGUCACAAGAAUUCUAGGGCCUUCACGGCAUCUCUAUAGCUAAUAACGCCAUAAACAGAUCAAUGACAAGAGAAAAACAUCGAAACUAAACCUAACAGAUCAAUGACAAGACAAAAACGUCGAAACUAAAACUAACAGAUUAAUGACAAGGAGAAAACAUCAAAACUAAAAAGGAUGAUGUAUUUACCUCUUUCAGAACAACAAAACGGGACCUCAAACUACGUCGGAAUCAGCCGCCACCGAAACAAGUCGUCAUCGUCGGUUCGGAAACUCUAAUUACUAACCAAAUUCCCAAAGAAAAAUAGAAAAUUUUAGCUAAAAGAACUAUAUUUUGUCCUUUGCUCGAAGGCCCUCUUUUCCCUUUUUCAGGACCCCUCUUUUUUCUCUCAAGAGAGCUGUUUAGAGAAGAUCCCCCCUUCAGAAAAAUAUCCCCCAAAAAAUAUCCCCCCAAAAAUCCCUUUUCUUGCUCUAAAGAGAUCUAUAUAGAGAGAACAGAAAAAAAAAACCCUUUCAAAAGUUGCUCCACCGAUGUGGGAUAAAGUCAUUCAGGGGAAAAUUGGGGAAUUCCUUAAGAAGGAAUUCAAAAUUUGAACUCUAGAUCAGUUUCCCCUAACAAAAUUGUACCAAUUUUGUUGUUUUUUGAGGGAAUUCAUUGGGGGUUGGCCAAUAGAAUUUUUUGUAAAACAAAUUCCCUCAAGAAACAAUAGAAAUUCACCAAAUAAGUACGGAAUAAUACCAUCGUGGCCGAGAUUCGCGCAAUUAGCCGUUAUGGUACGUGAGCUGUCCAAUUUCUAGAAAUUUCAUUGAAGAAACGAAUUGAAUUCGCGGGUCGAACCCAGAUUCGGGUUUGUUGGGUUCGCGGGUCUGGCGAUUUGGAGCAUAUCGUCUUCAUUGGUGUUCGUUAGUCGCGAUUUUGGGCUAUUUUUUGUAUUGGUGGUGCUGCUGGGUUUGAUAUUUUUGUCGUGGUUUUUUCAAUUGUUGUACGUUGAUGUGUUGUUAUGGUUGAAGAAAGCAUAAAGUGGGCCAGG